UGACUCACCGAGAGUGAACCAGUAUCGUGAGGGAAAGGCGAAAAGAACCCCGGCGAGGGGAGUGAAAAAGAACCUGAAUCCGUGUACGUACAAGCAGUGGGAGCACCUUCGGGUGUGACUGCGUACCUUUUGUAUAAUGGGUCAGCGACUUAUAUUCUGUAGCAAGGUUAACCGUAUAGGGGAGCCGCAGGGAAACCGAGUCUUAACUGGGCGUUAAGUUGCAGGGUAUAGACCCGAAACCCGGUGAUCUAGCCAUGGGCAGGUUGAAGGUUGGGUAACACUAACUGGAGGACCGAACCGACUAAUGUUGAAAAAUUAGCGGAUGACUUGUGGCUGGGGGUGAAAGGCCAAUCAAACCGGGAGAUAGCUGGUUCUCCCCGAAAGCUAUUUAGGUAGCGCCUCGUGAACUCAUCUUCGGGGGUAGAGCACUGUUUCGGCUAGGGGGUCAUCCCGACUUACCAACCCGAUGCAAACUACGAAUACCGAAGAAUGUUAUCACGGGAGACACACGGCGGGUGCUAACGUCCGUCGUGAAGAGGGAAACAACCCAGACCGCCAGCUAAGGUCCCAAAGUCAUGGUUAAGUGGGAAACGAUGUGGGAAGGCACAGACAGCCAGGAUGUUGGCUUAGAAGCAGCCAUCAUUUAAAGAAAGCGUAAUAGCUCACUGGUCGAGUCGGCCUGCGCGGAAGAUGUAACGGGGCUAAACCAUGCACCGAAGCUGCGGCAGCGACACUAUGUGUUGUUGGGUAGGGGAGCGUUCUGUAAGCCUGCGAAGGUGUGCUGUGAGGCAUGCUGGAGGUAUCAGAAGUGCGAAUGCUGAC
rnacentral:rRNA from 1 species